rnacentral:rRNA from 1 species
GCCAGACUCCUACGGGAGGCAGCAGUGGGGAAUAUUGCACAAUGGGGGAAACCCUGAUGCAGCGACGCCGCGUGAGUGAAGAAGUAUUUCGGUAUGUAAAGCUCUCUCAGCAGGGAAGAAAAUGACGGUACCUGACUAAGAAGCCCCGGCUAACUACGUGCCAGCAGCCGCGGUAAUACGUAGGGGGCAAGCGUUAUCCGGAUUUACUAGGUGUAAAGGGAGCGUAGACGGUGAUGCAAGUCAGAAGUGAAAGCCCGGGGCUCAACGCCGGGACUGCUUUUGAAACUGUGUGACUGGAGUGCAGGAGAGGUAAGCGGAAUUCCUGGUGUAGCGGUGAAAUGCGUAGAUAUCAGGAGGAACACCAGUGGCGAAGGCGGCUUACUGGACUGUAACUGACGUUGAGGCUCGAAAGCGUGGGGAGCAAACAGGAUUAGAUACCCUAGUAU